AUUGAACGCUGGCGGCAGGCCUAACACAUGCAAGUCGAGCGGAUGAAGGGAGCUUGCUCCUGGAUUCAGCGGCGGACGGGUGAGUAAUGCCUAGGAAUCUGCCUGGUAGUGGGGGGUAACGUCCGGAAACGGGCGCUAAUACCGCAUACGUCCUGAGGGAGAAAGUGGGGGAUCUUCGGACCUCACGCUAUCAGAUGAGCCUAGGUCGGAUUAGCUAGUUGGUGGGGUAAAGGCCUACCAAGGCGACGAUCCGUAACUGGUCUGAGAGGAUGAUCAGUCACACUGGAACUGAGACACGGUCCAGACUCCUACGGGAGGCAGCAGUGGGGAAUAUUGGACAAUGGGCGAAAGCCUGAUCCAGCUAUGCCGCGUGUGUGAAGAAGGUCUUCGGAUUGUAAAGCACUUUAAGUUGGGAGGAAGGGCAGUAAGUUAAUACCUUGCUGUUUUGACGUUACCAACAGAAUAAGCACCGGCUAACUUCGUG
rnacentral:rRNA from 1 species